rnacentral:rRNA from 1 species
ACGGCUCAGUAACACGUAGAUAAUCUACCCUAAGGUCAGGGAUAGCGUCGGGAAACUGACGGUAAUACCUGAUAGGGGAUUCUUUCUGGAAUGAGGAUUCCCUCAAAUUCGAGCCUUAGGAUGAGUCUGCGGCGGAUUAGGCAGUUGGCGGGGUAAUGGCCCACCAAACCUUUAAUCCGUAAGGGCUCUUAGCGGAGAGGCCCUGAGAAUGUAUCUGAGACACUAUACAUAGCCCCAAGGGGUGCAGCAGUCGGGAAUUUUCUGCAAUGCGCGAAAGCGUGACAGAGCGAGUCAGAGUGCAGUUCACAUGAACUGCUUUUGUAUGCUGUAAAAAGGCAUACGAAUAAGGACUGGGAGAGACUGGUGCCAGCCGCCGCGGUAAUCCCAGCAGUCCAAGUCGCAGCCACAAUUAUUGGGUCUAAAACACCCGUAGCUAGCUUUGUAAGUCUCUUGUGAAAUCUGACAUCUUAAGUGUCAGGCGUGCAAGAGAUACUGCAGAGCUUGAGACCGGAAGACGCGAGAAGUACACUCAAGGAAGUGGUAAAAUAUGUUAAUCUUGGGUGGACUAACAAGAGCGAAGGCAUCUCGCGAAGACGGAUCUGACAGUGAGGGGUGAAGGCUAGGGGCGCAAAUUGGAUUAGAUACCCAAGUAGUCCUAGCUGUAAACACUGCACACUAAACAUAAGUACCUCCUCGAGAGGUAUUUGUGCUGUAGGGAAGCCGUAGAGUGUGCUACCUGGGAAGUAUAGUCGCAAGACCGAAACUUAAAGGAAUUGGCGGGGGAGCAC